UUCAAAUUAGGGAAGGGGAAAACCAUAUCAUAUCCACAUGCCUGUGUAUUUAUAUCCUCACAAAACAGCAACAAAUGCAUCAAUAAAUUGUUCUUGUUCUUCAAAAUAUAUUAAGGCUAUUUGCUUUCCCCAAAAAUGGCUUCUAAAUCCCUCAUUUGGCAAUUGGUUUUGGUUUUAGUUGCCAUUCUAGGUUAUAAUGUUGCAGCAAGGAAUUGGGAUUCUGCUCAUCAAACUGCUUACAAGGAUGUUGUGGGAAUCAAAAGCAUAAAAAAGGUAGCUAAACCCAUUCCAAGGAAAGAUAAACCAAGGGGUGGAAAUUUCUAAUCAACUUCCAAAAAUAAUUUAGUAUAUUGGAGGAUGUCAAAUUUUCCCAACUUUUUACCUUGUAAUAAAUUGUUACCUUUUUCAUACAGAUUAAUACAAUGAAUUUGUUUGGAAAAGGAAACUUCAUA